UAUACCUGAAAAUAUAUAAAUAAUAAUAAUAAUGUAAUAAUGACACAUACCCAACACAUACCACACCUAUCCUAGCUUCUGUGUCAGUGU